AACUUGAAGUUGUCCAAAUCACACAGAACCACGCGAGACCUCAAAACGAUAAGUUGUUGACAAUAUGGCGGCACAGAGUGGAAUAUUGAUUAAGUUUUAAAGGAGGCAGGGGUUUUAGGCAGGAUUUGAUGCUGCUUACAUGAUGUGUGUGUAGAUAUUAAUGUUAGGGGACAAUGUGAGAGUGUACGUUUUAGUAGGAAAACUUAUUAUCUGAUCCACACUCCGGAACAGAAGAGGGCGGUAUUGCACCAAUAAGCUGGAUGCGAACCGCCGUUAAACUGGAAAGAAGACGAAUGUGACAGCUUGCUGUGAGAGACAACGGGACAGAUGAGACACAUGUGUGUUUAUCUGCUGCAGACACACUGAUGAAGGAAUGCUGCCAUCAAAGGAUUUGUAUAUUUUGUGGUGGAGCAGGACCUGCAAGGAAAGGUGAAAAAGAGGGAAAACCUGAAACAAAAGAAUAAUGUAGUCGUGCUCAUGGGGUGCAGGCACACGAAAGUUUGGAGCAGACACAGCAGUCAGAUUGUCCUGCACGUGUUCUUCUGCUCUCGUUUAAGGUUGUGUGGUUCAGAGAGCCAUCAUCAAGGUCUUUUUCAUCCUGUUGCUCAACAACAUCCCCGUUGAAAAGAGUGAGAUUGUGAAGUGCAGCAGCAGAACUGUAUCAGCUGUGUUCAGAUGGCAGGAGGAUGUUGGGUUCACCAUCUGUAAAUACGUGAUUGUUAGAACAAUAAGUUUGAAUGAAGCUUUGUAUCAUGUGUUGUUGACUUGUACAUUAUCAAAUCAACAGUCUUCUCCAAAGGUGAGAUCUUCGAGCAGCUGAUCGAAGUACCCUUUGUGCAGAUAUUGCAGAGUCGCUGUGAGGAGUUAGUGCACCUGACCCUCUUUUUUAUUAUUAUUGCCAAAUUAUUUCAUAAAAGAUCAUGGUAAGAUGGUUGUAUCUAACAAUAAACAAUCAUAAUGCCAUAAAACAGUAAAUAAAAAAUACAAUGUUUUCAUCAUAGUAUGAGAUGCUAUACAAGAAAAACAUUUUUCACGUAAAAUAAUUCAAAAAAUAUUCAAGAGAUAAUGAUUUUGGGUAUAAAAAAAUGCUUUAAGGAUAAUACUUGAUCACAUUAGUGGAGUUAAAAAUAUAAAAAAUUAAAAUCAACAGUAUUGGCUAUACUAGAAUCACAAAAUAAAAAGGCAGCCGUUUCUGCAACAUGUUCUUCAUUAUCAAGAUAAUUACAAAUACAUUAAUUAAACCUGUCACUUAUGUCUUUUACGUUUUUGUGCUUGUUUUAACUUUGUAGGUCACAUGAUCAACAUAGAGGAUGAUGAUAUACAAUUUGCAUCCAUACUUCAUACAUACGCAUUUAGGCUGUAGAGUAU